UAGGGAAUCUUCGGCAAUGGACGAAAGUCUGACCGAGCAACGCCGCGUGAGUGAAGAAGGUUUUCGGAUCGUAAAACUCUGUUGUUAGAGAAGAACAAGGACGUUAGUAACUGAACGUCCCCUGACGGUAUCUAACCAGAAAGCCACGGCUAACUACGUGCCAGCAGCCGCGGUAAUACGUAGGUGGCAAGCGUUGUCCGGAUUUAUUGGGCGUAAAGCGAGCGCAGGCGGUUUCUUAAGUCUGAUGUGAAAGCCCCCGGCUCAACCGGGGAGGGUCAUUGGAAACUGGGAGACUUGAUUGCAGAAGAGGAGAGUGGAAUUCCAUGUGUAGCGGUGAAAUGCGUAGAUAUAUGGAGGAACACCAGUGGCGAAGGCGGCUCUCUGGUCUGUAACUGACGCUGAGGCUCGAAAGCGUGGGGAGCAAACAGG
rnacentral:rRNA from 1 species